GAGGGGGAUAACACUUGGAAACAGGUGCUAAUACCGCAUAACCAUAGUUACCGCAAGGUAACUAUGUAAAAGGUGGCUAUGCUACCGCUUUUGGAUGGGCCCGCGACGCAUUAGCUAGUUGGUGGGGUAAAGGCUUACCAAGGCAAUGAUGCGUAGCCGAACUGAGAGGUUGAUCGGCCACAUUGGGACUGAGACACGGCCCAAACUCCUACGGGAGGCAGCAGUAGGGAAUCUUCCACAAUGGGCGAAAGCCUGAUGGAGCAACGCCGCGUGGGUGAAGAAGGUCUUCGGAUCGUAAAACCCUGUUGUUAGAGAAGAAAGUGCGUGAGAGUAACUGUUCACGUUUCGACGGUAUCUAACCAGAAAGCCACGGCUAACUACGUGCCAGCAGCCGCGGUAAUACGUAGGUGGCAAGCGUUAUCCGGAUUUAUUGGGCGUAAAGAGAACGCAGGCGGUCUUUUAAGUCUGAUGUGAAAGCCUUCGGCUUAACCGGAGUAGUGCAUUGGAAACUGGGAGACUUGAGUGCAGAAGAGGAGAGUGGAACUCCAUGUGUAGCGGUGAAAUGCGUAGAUAUAUGGAAGAACACCAGUGGCGAAAGCGGCUCUCUGGUCUGUAACUGACGCUGAGGUUCGAAAGCGUGGGUAGCAAACAGGAUUAGAUACCCUGGUAGUCCACGCCGUAAACGAUGAAUGCUAAGUGUUGGAGGGUUUCCGCCCUUCAGUGCUGCAG
rnacentral:rRNA from 1 species